CUGAGUUAUGCCCUGCCCUGCUUUGUGUCAUAUGGAAUAUGUUCCAUGGUUGGCAAGAAUCUCUCACAUGAAAUCCCUGUUUUGUGGAAGGACUUGUGUGGUGAAUCCCAUCACUUUGUAGAAGUGUCUAGCCCUCCAGCGUGAAAGGCACCAGUCAGUCAUCCAAUCCUUUGGGGGUAAAAAGUACACUGACUAUUGAACGCCUGGAUGGUUCCAUUGUAAGUACCCCUUUUUGCAUGCCUAGUAGUUAGAAAGUUCAGAAUGGGUGGCUGGCCCCUC
rnacentral:lncRNA from 1 species